UGCCCUGUCAAUGGGCAAAGAAACACCUUGUUGGUAGUGUUCUUACAUCAGUCAGGAGCAGAACAGAUGGCAGUCCAGUGUUCGUCCUAGCUUAAUGCCUGGCUUGUGGCCAAAGCUGUUUUAUGCCUAAGACUCAUAA